rnacentral:rRNA from 1 species
UGGAUGAUGUGGAUUAAUUCGAUGCAACGCGAAAACCUUACUACCUUGACAUGUCCGGAAUCCCGAAGAGAUUUGGGAGUGCUCGCAAGAGAACCGGAACACAGGUGCUGCAUGGCUGUCGUCAGCUCGUGUCGUGAGAUGUUGGGUUAAGUCCCGCAACGAGCGCAACCCUUGUCAUUAGUUGCCAUCAUUUGGUUGGGCACUCUAAUGAGACUGCCGGUGACAAACCGGAGGAAGGUGGGGAUGACGUCAAGUCCUCAUGGCCCUUAUGGGUAGGGCUUCACACGUCAUACAAUGGUCGGUACAGAGGGUUGCCAACCCGCGAGGGGGAGCUAAUCCCACAAAGCCGAUCGUAGUCCGGAUCGCAGUCUGCAACUCGACUGCGUGAAGUCGGAAUCGCUAGUAAUCGUGGAUCAGCAUGUCACGGUGAAUACGUUCCCGGGUCUU